GAGCCCGUAGCUCAGUCGGUAGAGCAGCGGCCUUUUAAGCCGUGUGUCGAGGGUUCGAUUCCCUCCGGGCUCA
rnacentral:tRNA from 2 species